UUAACAACUUUCUCUUAUGCGCUACGAAGUUCUCCAUUAACUUUAUGAUAACAAUAAUAAUAAUAUAAUAUCACAGUCAAUUGUAGCUUUGCCUUUCUUUGCGAUUCUCAUAAGCACUGCAAACUUAAUAUUUCCUUGUGGAUUGGCAUGCAUAACAGUUUGUUUUAGAUAAACAGACAAGAUAUAACUUCUAAGCUGCUAAUAUAUUGUCAAAGUCGACAGCAUUAUUUGGCCAGCUAAAGCAAGCAGCUUCUACGGUAUACAAGAAAUAAUUUCGCACAUACACACACACACACACACACACACACACACACAGAACAGCAAGUAAAUAAACCACCAUUGAGACAAAUACGCCCAGUUGUACAGUUGAGUUGUUCUUUUUCUUUAUUUUUGGCAAACAUGGUUAGAUUGGGUGUUGCUGGAUUUUGUAGGCCUUUCUAACUGCGCAGCUGUUAAAUAAUAAUUGGGACGGGAAGCCAGAAAUGCCCGGCGUGUUUGGCGCUCAGUUCUUUCGUAUCGCGCUGGUCUGGCUGUCACAAUUUUAGACCUACGUAUGUAUAGCAAAUGCACAGCAAUCAAUUGGGCUUGACGUUGCCCUGCGUGUCUGUCUAAUUGCAACGUGUCGCUAUGCCAAAAACCUAUUCCAUCCGGACAGCCGCAUUGUUCGAGUGCACAGCUCGACUAAUUCGUGAAAGUUAUGAAGGCACUUGAAAUGAAAAUCCACGAAAACAGCGCGAAUUCGCACUUCAACGAAUCAAUUAAAUGUAUAUUUAUUUUAUUACAGACAAAUUCAAACACGUCGGGCACGUAUUUCAAAUGGCCAGCUAAAAAUACGAGGCUUAAAUAUAUUUUAAAUGCAAUUUGAUUACAGUUGAAUGAGAGCAGCUGAUUAAUAAAUUAAUAAAUACACCAACUACACUUUGAUAAGCAAUUCAAA